rnacentral:rRNA from 1 species
CGAGCGGUAGAGAGAAGCUUGCUUCUCUUGAGAGCGGCGGACGGGUGAGUAAAGCCUAGGAAUCUGCCUGGUAGUGGGGGAUAACGUUCGGAAACGGACGCUAAUACCGCAUACGUCCUACGGGAGAAAGCAGGGGACCUUCGGGCCUUGCGCUAUCAGAUGAGCCUAGGUCGGAUUAGCUAGUUGGUGAGGUAAUGGCUCACCAAGGCGACGAUCCGUAACUGGUCUGAGAGGAUGAUCAGUCACACUGGAACUGAGACACGGUCCAGACUCCUACGGGAGGCAGCAGUGGGGAAUAUUGGACAAUGGGCGAAAGCCUGAUCCAGCCAUGCCGCGUGUGUGAAGAAGGUCUUCGGAUUGUAAAGCACUUUAAGUUGGGAGGAAGGGCAGUUACUUAAUACGUGAUUGUUUUGACGUUACCGACAGAAUAAGCACCGGCUAACUCUGUGCCAGCAGCCGCGGUAAUACAGAGGGUGCAAGCGUUAAUCGGAAUUACUGGGCGUAAAGCGCGCGUAGGUGGUUUGUUAAGUUGGAUGUGAAAUCCCCGGGCUCAACCUGGGAACUGCAUUCAAAACUGACUGACUAGAGUGUGGUAGAGGGUGGUGGAAUUUCCUGUGUAGCGGUGAAAUGCGUAGAUAUAGGAAGGAACACCAGUGGCGAAGGCGACCACCUGGACCAACACUGACACUGAGGUGCGAAAGCGUGGGGAGCAAACAGGAUUAGAUACCCUGGUAGUCCACGCCGUAAACGAUGUCAACUAGCCGUUGGGAGCCUUGAGCUCUUAGUGGCGCAGCUAACGCAUUAAGUUGACCGCCUGGGGAGUACGGCCGCAAGGUUAAAACUCAAAUGAAUUGACGGGGG